GGGUUGUGAGGUUAAGCGACUAAGCGUACACGGUGGAUGCCCUGGCAGUCAGAGGCGAUGAAGGACGUGCUAAUCUGCGAUAAGCGUCGGUAAGGUGAUAUGAACCGUUAUAACCGGCGAUUUCCGAAUGGGGAAACCCAGUGUGUUUCGACACACUAUCAUUAACUGAAUCCAUAGGUUAAUGAGGCGAACCGGGGGAACUGAAACAUCUAAGUACCCCGAGGAAAAGAAAUCAACCGAGAUUCCCCCAGUAGCGGCGAGCGAACGGGGAGCAGCCCAGAGCCUGAAUCAGUGUGUGUGUUAGUGGAAGCGUCUGGAAAGGCGCGCGAUACAGGGUGACAGCCCCGUACACAAAAAUGCACAUGCUGUGAGCUCGAUGAGUAGGGCGGGACACGUGGUAUCCUGUCUGAAUAUGGGGGGACCAUCCUCCAAGGCUAAAUACUCCUGACUGACCGAUAGUGAACCAGUACCGUGAGGGAAAGGCGAAAAGAACCCCGGCGAGGGGAGUGAAAAAGAACCUGAAACCGUGUACGUACAAGCAGUGGGAGCACGCUUCGGCGUGUGACUGCGUACCUUUUGUAUAAUGGGUCAGCGACUUAUAUUCUGUAGCAAGGUUAACCGAAUAGGGGAGCCGAAGGGAAACCGAGUCUUAACUGGGCGUUAAGUUGCAGGGUAUAGACCCGAAACCCGGUGAUCUAGCCAUGGGCAGGUUGAAGGUUGGGUAACACUAACUGGAGGACCGAACCGACUAAUGUUGAAAAAUUAGCGGAUGACUUGUGGCUGGGGGUGAAAGGCCAAUCAAACCGGGAGAUAGCUGGUUCUCCCCGAAAGCUAUUUAGGUAGCGCCUCGUGAAUUCAUCUCCGGGGGUAGAGCACUGUUUCGGCAAGGGGGUCAUCCCGACUUACCAACCCGAUGCAAACUGCGAAUACCGGAGAAUGUUAUCACGGGAGACACACGGCGGGUGCUAACGUCCGUCGUGAAGAGGGAAACAACCCAGACCGCCAGCUAAGGUCCCAAAGUCAUGGUUAAGUGGGAAACGAUGUGGGAAGGCCCAGACAGCCAGGAUGUUGGCUUAGAAGCAGCCAUCAUUUAAAGAAAGCGUAAUAGCUCACUGGUCGAGUCGGCCUGCGCGGAAGAUGUAACGGGGCUAAACCAUGCACCGAAGCUGCGGCAGCGACGCUGAUGCGUUGUUGGGUAGGGGAGCGUUCUGUAAGCCUGUGAAGGUGUGCUGUGAGGCAUGCUGGAGGUAUCAGAAGUGCGAAUGCUGACAUAAGUAACGAUAAAGCGGGUGAAAAGCCCGCUCGCCGGAAGACCAAGGGUUCCUGUCCAACGUUAAUCGGGGCAGGGUGAGUCGACCCCUAAGGCGAGGCCGAAAGGCGUAGUCGAUGGGAAACAGGUUAAUAUUCCUGUACUUGGUGUUACUGCGAAGGGGGGACGGAGAAGGCUAUGUUGGCCGGGCGACGGUUGUCCCGGUUUAAGCGUGUAGGCUGGUUUUCCAGGCAAAUCCGGAAAAUCAAGGCUGAGGCGUGAUGACGAAGCACUACGGUGCUGAAGCAACAAAUGCCCUGCUUCCAGGAAAAGCCUCUAAGCAUCAGGUAACAUCAAAUCGUACCCCAAACCGACACAGGUGGUCAGGUAGAGAAUACCAAGGCGCUUGAGAGAACUCGGGUGAAGGAACUAGGCAAAAUGGUGCCGUAACUUCGGGAGAAGGCACGCUGAUAUGUAGGUGAAGUCCCUUGCGGAUGGAGCUGAAAUCAGUCGAAGAUACCAGCUGGCUGCAACUGUUUAUUAAAAACACAGCACUGUGCAAACACGAAAGUGGACGUAUACGGUGUGACGCCUGCCCGGUGCCGGAAGGUUAAUUGAUGGGGUCAGCGCAAGCGAAGCUCUUGAUCGAAGCCCCGGUAAACGGCGGCCGUAACUAUAACGGUCCUAAGGUAGCGAAAUUCCUUGUCGGGUAAGUUCCGACCUGCACGAAUGGCGUAAUGAUGGCCAGGCUGUCUCCACCCGAGACUCAGUGAAAUUGAACUCGCUGUGAAGAUGCAGUGUACCCGCGGCAAGACGGAAAGACCCCGUGAACCUUUACUAUAGCUUGACACUGAACAUUGAGCCUUGAUGUGUAGGAUAGGUGGGAGGCUUUGAAGUGUGGACGCCAGUCUGCAUGGAGCCGACCUUGAAAUACCACCCUUUAAUGUUUGAUGUUCUAACGUUGACCCGUAAUCCGGGUUGCGGACAGUGUCUGGUGGGUAGUUUGACUGGGGCGGUCUCCUCCUAAAGAGUAACGGAGGAGCACGAAGGUUGGCUAAUCCUGGUCGGACAUCAGGAGGUUAGUGCAAUGGCAUAAGCCAGCUUGACUGCGAGCGUGACGGCGCGAGCAGGUGCGAAAGCAGGUCAUAGUGAUCCGGUGGUUCUGAAUGGAAGGGCCAUCGCUCAACGGAUAAAAGGUACUCCGGGGAUAACAGGCUGAUACCGCCCAAGAGUUCAUAUCGACGGCGGUGUUUGGCACCUCGAUGUCGGCUCAUCACAUCCUGGGGCUGAAGUAGGUCCCAAGGGUAUGGCUGUUCGCCAUUUAAAGUGGUACGCGAGCUGGGUUUAGAACGUCGUGAGACAGUUCGGUCCCUAUCUGCCGUGGGCGCUGGAGAACUGAGGGGGGCUGCUCCUAGUACGAGAGGACCGGAGUGGACGCAUCACUGGUGUUCGGGUUGUCAUGCCAAUGGCACUGCCCGGUAGCUAAAUGCGGAAGAGAUAAGUGCUGAAAGCAUCUAAGCACGAAACUUGCCCCGAGAUGAGUUCUCCCUGACUCCUUGAGAGUCCUGAAGGAACGUUGAAGACGACGACGUUGAUAGGCCGGGUGUGUAAGCGCAGCGAUGCGUUGAGCUAACCGGUACUAAUGAACCGUGAGGCUUAACCUUACAACGCCGAAGAUGGUUU
rnacentral:rRNA from 1 species